rnacentral:rRNA from 1 species
UUGACCUCAAAUCAGGUAGGACUACCCGCUGAACUUAAGCAUAC